rnacentral:tRNA from 1 species
CGGGGCGUAGCGCAGCUUGGUAGCGCAUCUGGUUUGGGACCAGGGGGUCGGAGGUUCAAAUCCUCUCGCCCCGA